rnacentral:rRNA from 1 species
GACGAACGCUGGCGGCGUGCUUAACACAUGCAAGUCGAACGGAAAGGCCUGCUUUCCCUUGUGGAUUGCGGGUACUCGAGUGGCGAACGGGUGAGUAACACGUGAGUGAUCUGCCCCCAACUUGGGUAUAAGCCUGGGAAACUGGGUCUAAUUCCCGAUAGGACUGCAGGGUGGUGCCUGUGGUGGAAAACGAUUUUCUAGUGGUUGGGGAUGAGCUCGCGGCCUAUCAGCUUGUUGGUGGGGUAAUGACCUACCAAGGCGGCGACGGGUAGCCGGCCUGAGAGGGUGGACGGGCACAUUGGGACUGAGAUACGGCCCAGACGCCUACGGGAGGCAGCAGUGGGGAAUAUUGCACAAUGGGCGGAAGCCUGAUGCAGCGACGCCGCGUGGGGGAUGACGGGCUUCGGGUUGUAAACUCCUUUCGACCGCGAGGAAGCCACCUGGUUGGAAGGGUGGUGACGGUAGUGGUAGAAGAAGCACCGGCUAACUACGUG